rnacentral:lncRNA from 1 species
CCCGGUUCCAGUAGGAAGCCUCCUAGGCAGGGAGCUAAAGCUUUCACAGUGGCCUGUGGGGUGUGUGGCUUGGUAGAAGGCUCUGAUUGGGACAGCUUCCUCUGGAUUCAGCAUCCCUGGGUGGCUGCAAGAACCCUAAAUAGAACAUGUGUAUCACCUUUACCUCUGCAAGGCUCAGUGUCCAUCUUGGAAGAGAGGGUAGAUAGAAGUUGCUGUAACAGAAUGCCUGAGGUUGGGCACUUUGAGAGAAGUCAAACUUCCGGAGGCUUAAAGUUCAAACAGCAUGAUUCUCAUUCUCUUGAUGGGCCCUUGACUGCAUCACAUGAUGGAUGACGUCAUGGUGGCUGCACACGUGUAAGAGAGAUCACAUG